rnacentral:lncRNA from 1 species
AAUACUCGUAGAGUUCCAAUCAUUCUCUGUCUCUCUCUAUCCUCCUCUUAUAUUCUCCCAAUCCCAAACCUCUCAAUCAGUCCAUGCUCUCCAAAUCUCUCCAUCUUUCUCUAUUCUCUCAUAGUCCCAUUUGACUUUCCUUCUCCUUUUCAUCAUCUUGUUCUUCUUUCCUGCCCAAGUUGAUGCAACUCGUCCCAUAGCCCGGCGAGUCAAAUUUGAAUUCUUUA